UAUUUCCUAUCUAUUGUAGAUGAUUUUAGUAGGUGUGUGUGGAAAUAUUUAGUAAAAACCAAAGAUGAGUCUUUAGGGAAAUUUAAAAUUUGGAAAAAUAAAGUGGAAAAUCAAACAAAUUAAAAAAUAAAAACACUCAGAACGAAUAAUGGUUUAGAACUUAUAAUUAAGGAAUUUGAUAAGUUUUGUGAAGACUAUGGAAUAACUAGACAUAGAAUUGUAAUUCACACCCCACAACAAAAUGGAGUGGCUGAACGAAUGAAUCAAACUCUCUUGAACAAAGUUAGGUGCUUGUUAAUUAGUUCGGGUUUGGGAAAAUCUAUAACGCCCCGCGUUUAGGGCACUGGGUAAACCCUAGUUCGGGUAUUUUAAUUCCCUGUAUUAUGUAAUAUGUCAGAGGAACAUUUUAUGUUACAAGAAGUUGUGAUGUUUGAAUGCUAGCCAUGUUGUGGUAAGUGCGAUUUUUUUAGAAACCGAGACCUUUGGCCGUGGACCGGGUUAAAAACUCUAAUCGGGUAAAAAUCUUGGAUUAAGUAAAUAUGAAAUUCUAUGGCAUAAAAAUAUUAAUUGUGUCUGGCAUUGGAACUUUAUAGUUGAUCCAAUAAGUUUAAGAAAAGUUGAUUGAGGAUUUAAUUCCAAUCUACCAGGUUUAAGAAUAGAAAUUCUUGCCCGAGCCUCUAAGGGCAUUUUGGUCAACUGAAUAAAUUACCAAAAUUAUGUGUUAUGUGACAAAAUUUAUUUUGGUCAUAUUUAUUUUAUUUUAGCUUGGAGAUAUUUAAAAACUAUAGGGUAUAAAUUUGGUUAAAUUUGGAGAGUGAAAUUACCAAAGAGUCCUUGAGUGCAUUAGAAGUGAGUUAAAAGGGGAAAUGGCAUUUUAGUCAUUUCCAAAGGAGGAGAGAGGGUGUGAUGGGCAGCUAGGCUAUGCCCUAGUGUAAUAAAGAGUCUAUGACACCUAACCUAUGAAGAGUAAGAGGCUAGCUCACACAUUGGCUAAACCUCCAAUCAUCCUCUCUUACACAUAUAAUCAUUUUCUUUUUUUUUUUUAAAUUUCUUUUUCCUCAAGAAAAUGAUUGUCUUCAUUCUCUCUCCCCCAAAACCGAAAUCUAGUCUCCCUCUACCCUCCAUUUCUGCCAUUUUUCUCUCCAAGGAGCAAGAGCUCUCACCCUCCAUUGAAGGAAGGAAGAAAACACAAGAGCACACUAGACAAGUAUCUUGUAUUCUAGGGUUCUAGAGUGGUGGUUCUAGGAGGAUUUCAAGAUUUGAAGCUUGUUGAUGUUUUAGUGAGAACAAAGGUAAAGAUUUUAGAGUUUUGGCAAUUUCCCCCUCAUCUCCAUCUUCUACCCUAACAUAUUUUUUUAAAAAAAAAUUGCAUGUGGAACCUUGGGGCUAAGUUUGAGUGUAUAGAACACAAGGAGGAAGUUUGAAAGGCUAAGGGAACCUUAUCUCCAAGCUUGAACCAUUAAAGGUAAGCUCAAAGGAAAAGUGGAUCAGUGAGCGCUGGAGUUUAUCUGCGAGGAUGUACAUGUGGGCCGACCUUUUUGGAAUUUAUGUUUUGGGGACUAGUACCCAUAUGAUAACUAAGAAAUAUUUUGGACUUGUUGAAUGUUUUAAAAUUAUGACACUGUAAUUUUCUGUUAAGUAUGCGCAUACUUCCGAACACUUGCAUGUGUUUGAAAAGUUUUUUUUAUAUGGAUUUUCGUUUGCCUUAUUUUCAGAAAAUGGUUAUGUUUUUCCGCAAAUUAUG